GGCUUGUUGAUAAUAAUUUCAAGUCUAACCUGCCCAAUGAGUAAAAUUUAAUGGCCGCGGUAAAUUGACCGUGCAAAGGUAGCAUAAUCAUUAGUUUUUUAAUUGAAAGCUUGUAUGAAAGGUUGAAUGAGAAAAUUUCUGUCUCUAAAAAAAUUUAUUAGAAUUUUAUUUUUAAGUGAAAAAGCUUAAAUAUUUGUAGAAGACGAGAAGACCCUAUAGAGUUUUAUACUUGAAUUAAAGCUUCUGAUUUUAGGUAUAUAAAAAUAUACUUUUAAUUCAAAUAUUUUAUUGGGGUGAUGGAAAAAUUUAAUUAACUUUUUUUUAUUUAAAAACAUUAAUUUAUGAAUUAAUGAUCCUAUUAUUUAGAUUAGAAGAUUAAAUUACCUUAGGGAUAACAGCGUAAUUUUUCUUAGAGUUCUUAUCGAAAGAAAGGAUUGCGACCUCGAUGUUGGAUUAAAAUAAAUUAUUGGUGUAGUAGCUAAUGGAUUAGGUCUGUUCGACUUUUAAAAUUUUACAUGAUCUGAGUUUAAACCGGUGUGAG
rnacentral:rRNA from 1 species